UCUCCUUGUGGCCAAAUCGUGCAUGCGCACC
rnacentral:piRNA from 1 species